rnacentral:tRNA from 1 species
GGUGGGUUGGCUCAGUGGUUAGAGCUUAGGUCUCGUAACCGAAAGGUCGCAGGAUGGAAUCCCGCUAUGGCUG